AGCUUUGUGCAGUGGCAGUGUCAUAGCCAAUGAGGGGUAUCCGAGGUGUGAUUAUUGCUAAUCAGAUAAACAUAUAUGUUCCAAAAGAAUGAAAAUAGUGCUAUGUGUUGCUGGAAUGGAUUC
rnacentral:snRNA from 1 species